rnacentral:rRNA from 1 species
GGGUUGUGAGGUUAAGUGACUAAGCGUACACGGUGGAUGCCUAGGCAGUCAGAGGCGAUGAAGGACGUGCUAAUCUGCGAUAAGCGUCGGUGAGCUGAUAUGAAGCAUUAUUAGCCGGCGAUGUCCGAAUGGGGAAACCCAGUGCAAUUCGUUGCACUAUCGUUAAGUGAAUCCAUAGCUUAACGAGGCGAACCAGGGGAACUGAAACAUCUAAGUACCCUGAGGAAAAGAAAUCAACCGAGAUUCCCCCAGUAGCGGCGAGCGAACGGGGAGCAGCCCAGAACCUGAAUCAGUUUGUGCAUUAGUGGAAGCGUCUGGAAAGUCGCGCGAUACCGGGUGAUAGCCCCGUACACGAAGGUGCACAGCUGUGAGUUCGAUGAGUAGGGCGGGACACGUGUUAUCCUGUCUGAAUAUGGGGGGACCAUCCUCCAAGGCUAAAUACUCCUGACUGACCGAUAGUGAACCAGUACCGUGAGGGAAAGGCGAAAAGAACCCCGGCGAGGGGAGUGAAAUAGAACCUGAAACCGUGUACGUACAAGCAGUGGGAGCACCCUUUGGGGUGUGACUGCGUACCUUUUGUAUAAUGGGUCAGCGACUUAUAUUUUGUAGCAAGGUUAACCGAAUAGGGGAGCCGUAGGGAAACCGAGUCUUAACUGGGCGUUGAGUUGCAAGGUAUAGACCCGAAACCCGGUGAUCUAGCCAUGGGCAGGUUGAAGGUUGGGUAACACUAACUGGAGGACCGAACCGACUAAUGUUGAAAAAUUAGCGGAUGACUUGUGGCUGGGGGUGAAAGGCCAAUCAAACCGGGAGAUAGCUGGUUCUCCCCGAAAGCUAUUUAGGUAGCGCCUCGUGAACUCAUCUUCGGGGGUAGAGCACUGUUUCGGCUAGGGGGUCAUCCCGACUUACCAACCCGAUGCAAACUGCGAAUACCGAAGAAUGUUAUCACGGGAGACACACGGCGGGUGCUAACGUCCGUCGUGAAGAGGGAAACAACCCAGACCGCCAGCUAAGGUCCCAAAGUCAUGGUUAAGUGGGAAACGAUGUGGGAAGGCAUAGACAGCCAGGAUGUUGGCUUAGAAGCAGCCAUCAUUUAAAGAAAGCGUAAUAGCUCACUGGUCGAGUCGGCCUGCGCGGAAGAUGUAACGGGGCUAAACCAUGCACCGAAGCUGCGGCAGCGACACUAUGUGUUGUUGGGUAGGGGAGCGUUCUGUAAGCCUGUGAAGGUGACCUGUGAGGGUUGCUGGAGGUAUCAGAAGUGCGAAUGCUGACAUAAGUAACGAUAAAGCGGGUGAAAAGCCCGCUCGCCGGAAGACCAAGGGUUCCUGUCCAACGUUAAUCGGGGCAGGGUAAGUCGACCCCUAAGGCGAGGCCGAAAGGCGUAGUCGAUGGGAAACAGGUUAAUAUUCCUGUACUUGGUGUUAUUGCGAAGGGGGGACGGAGAAGGCUAGGCCGGCCGGGCGACGGUUGUCCCGGUUUAAGCGUGUAGAUGUGAUGACCUGGCAAAUCCGGUCAUCUUCAACACUGAGGCGUGAUGACGAGGCACUACGGUGCUGAAGUGGUUGAUGCCCUGCUUCCAGGAAAAGCCUCUAAGCUCUAGAUAACACUGAAUCGUACCCCAAACCGACACAGGUGGUCAGGUAGAGAAUACCAAGGCGCUUGAGAGAACUCGGGUGAAGGAACUAGGCAAAAUGGUGCCGUAACUUCGGGAGAAGGCACGCUGGCAUGUAGGUGAAGUCCCUCGCGGAUGGAGCUGAAGCCAGUCGAAGAUACCAGCUGGCUGCAACUGUUUAAUAAAAACACAGCACUCUGCAAACACGAAAGUGGACGUAUAGGGUGUGACGCCUGCCCGGUGCUGGAAGGUUAAUUGAUGGGGUCAGCCGUAAGGCGAAGCUCUUGAUCGAAGCCCCAGUAAACGGCGGCCGUAACUAUAACGGUCCUAAGGUAGCGAAAUUCCUUGUCGGGUAAGUUCCGACCUGCACGAAUGGCGUAAUGAUGGCCAGGCUGUCUCCACCCGAGACUCAGUGAAAUUGAACUCGCUGUGAAGAUGCAGUGUACCCGCGGCAAGACGGAAAGACCCCGUGAACCUUUACUAUAGCUUGACACUGAACAUUGAACCUUGAUGUGUAGGAUAGGUGGGAGGCUUUGAAGUGUGGACGCCAGUCUGCAUGGAGCCGACCUUGAAAUACCACCCUUUAAUGUUUGAUGUUCUAACCUGGUCCCGUGAUCCGGGAUAGGGACAGUGUCUGGUGGGUAGUUUGACUGGGGCGGUCUCCUCCCAAAGCGUAACGGAGGAGCACGAAGGUUAGCUAAUCCUGGUCGGACAUCAGGAGGUUAGUGCAAAGGCAUAAGCUAGCUUGACUGCGAGAGUGACGGCUCGAGCAGGUGCGAAAGCAGGUCUUAGUGAUCCGGUGGUUCUGAAUGGAAGGGCCAUCGCUCAACGGAUAAAAGGUACUCCGGGGAUAACAGGCUGAUACCGCCCAAGAGUUCAUAUCGACGGCGGUGUUUGGCACCUCGAUGUCGGCUCAUCACAUCCUGGGGCUGAAGUAGGUCCCAAGGGUAUGGCUGUUCGCCAUUUAAAGUGGUACGCGAGCUGGGUUUAGAACGUCGUGAGACAGUUCGGUCCCUAUCUGCCGUGGGCGUUGGAAGAUUGAGAGGGGCUGCUCCUAGUACGAGAGGACCGGAGUGGACGCACCGCUGGUGUUCGGGUUGUGAUGCCAAUUGCAUUGCCCGGUAGCUACGUGCGGAAGAGAUAAGCGCUGAAAGCAUCUAAGCGCGAAACUUGCCUCGAGAUGAGUCUUCCCUUGGACCUAGAGUCCACUGAAGGAACGUUUAAGACUAAGACGUUGAUAGGCUGGGUGUGUAAGCGUAGCGAUACGUUGAGCUAACCAGUACUAAUGAUCCGUGAGGCUUAACCUUACAACACCGAAGGUGUUUUAG